rnacentral:misc_RNA from 1 species
GAUGAAGAACGUAGCGAAAUGCGAUAAUUAAUGUGAAUUGCAGAAUUCCGUGAAUCAUCGAGUCUUUGAACGCACAUUGCGCCUCAUGGCAUUCCGUGAGGCAUGCCCAUCUCAGCGUUAGUAAAUAUUCUCAAAUUUUAGUUUUGUGCUAAAAUUUGGAUCAUGUCAAGGAAGCUAUUACUAUUAUUGUGAUCGCUCUUUGGAAAUUGAUAGGUCUUUGAGUUGCUACUCAUAGAACGUGAUGAAUCUUUCUUCGUUCUAUUGUAAUUCACUCUGGUAGUCCUAAAACUUGUAUGCCUGUGGCAUAUCUUGUAAUUUGACCUGAGAUUGGGUAGGGAUACCCGCUGAACUUAAGCAUAUCAAUAAGCGGAGGA